AUUGAACGCUGGCGGCAGGCCUAACACAUGCAAGUCGAGCGAGAAAGCCCUUCGGGGUGAGUAUAGCGGCGGACGGGUGAGUAACGCGUAGGAAUCUACCUGGUAGUGGGGGACAACAUGUGGAAACGCAUGCUAAUACCGCAUACGACCUAAGGGUGAAAGUGGGGGACCUUCGGGCCUCACGCUACCAGAUGAGCCUGCGUAAGAUUAGCUAGUUGGUGGGGUAAAGGCUCACCAAGGCGACGAUCUUUAGCUGGUCUGAGAGGAUGAUCAGCCACACUGGGACUGAGACACGGCCCAGACUCCUACGGGAGGCAGCAGUGGGGAAUAUUGCGCAAUGGAGGCAACUCUGACGCAGCCAUGCCGCGUGUGUGAAGAAGGCCCUAGGGUUGUAAAGCACUUUCAAUUGGGAAGAAAAGCUGCACGUUAAUAGCGUGUAGCCCUGACAUUACCUUUAGAAGAAGCACCGGCUAACUCCG
rnacentral:rRNA from 1 species